rnacentral:misc_RNA from 1 species
GGGGAACAGCCAAACAAAAUGUGGGUGCUCGCAGAGCAAUGCUACAACAACAGCAGAGGAGCAGCAUGCAAGUAAGGAAAGUCUACUCCCAAGGGGCGAAUUCUCAAAGGAGUAGUGACUAUUUUAACCCAACGGUAUCUUCAAUCAUGAAGAAACGGAACAACUUGGAGCCACAGACCAGACCCCGUCAAAGUGCAGCAAAUUCAUCACCAAAAUGGAAUUUCUGAUUAACAAACUUUAGAUAAAAUCAUUCUUUUGAGCCAAGCUCUCCUUCUUUGGGCUUACACUGUAACUAAUUAUAGUGACUACAUGUGCAAA